GGGGACAUAGCUCAGUUGGUAGAGCAUCGCCUUUGCACGGCGGGGGUCAGGAGUUCGAGUCUCCUUGUCUCCACCA
rnacentral:tRNA from 1 species